AUUCCCAUUCGGACUCCCUGACUUUGUGUUUAAAUAGGAGGAAAUCAAAGCUAAAUUAAAGUAUCUCCCAAAAUUGUAGAGAUUUCUUCAGAUAUCUCCAUUAACGAAGGGAACAAUAUCAGCCUCACCUGCAUAGCAACUGGUAGACCAGAGCCUACGGUUACUUGGAGACACAUCUCCCCCAAAGCUACUGUUUUCGUGCUCUGGGCCAGCAGAAACACGUGGCAUUAUGGAAGGGUUUUCUGACCUGGAGAGAAAUGUCUCUUUGUUCCCUUUCUUGGGCCACUCAUGUUAAUACAGUGCUGCACCCCCUGAAGCUGUGCCUCCAACCAGAUUAUAGGAGUAAUAACUAAAUCAACAGCGGUUGGCUUUGUGAGUGAAGACGAAUACUUGGAAAUUCAGGGCAUCACCCGGGAGCAGUCAGGGGACUACGAG
rnacentral:sRNA from 1 species